UACAGAGGUGGCAAGCGUUGUUCGGAAUUAUUGGGCGUAAAGCGCGUGUAGGCGGCUUUGCAAGUCGGGUGUGAAAGCCCUCAGCUCAACUGAGGAAGUGCGCCCGAAACUGCAGAGCUUGAGUACCGGAGAGGAUGGCGGAAUUCCCCAAGUAGAGGUGAAAUUCGUAGAUAUGGGGAGGAACACCGGUGGCGAAGGCGGCCAUCUGGACGGUCACUGACGCUGAGACGCGAAAGCGUGGGUAGCAAACAGG
rnacentral:rRNA from 1 species